UGGCUCAUUUGGUAGAGCAUGGUGUUUGCAACGCCAGGGUUGUGGGUUCGUUUCCCAU
rnacentral:tRNA from 1 species